ensembl:snoRNA
ACACAGUGAUGGGUUGAUGGUGGGCCCUUCUCUGUGGGCCUCUCAGAGUAUACCUGUGCCAGAGAAGCAUGCAGCCCUGAACCACUGCCCAGCCUCCUCACUAGUGGGCUGUGGGCACUGAAGGGGGCUGUACAUUG